AGCACCAAUUAUGCUAAUAAAUUAGCACGUUAGCACGUUAUUGUAAUAUCCCAUAGUACAUACAUGUUAUUAAAACUUGAACUAAUGCACUGUGAGUCUUAUAAAUUGCUUACAUACCUCACCGAUUUCUGCAUGUCUGGAAAACGCUCGGUUUAGUUCCUGUCUCCGCCUCCCAAAAUGUCUAGUGUAUUCGGAUUGGUCAGAUGACUACUCAACUGUUAUUGGUCAACUGGGUUCGGCGUGUGUUUGAAAGGUUACGCCCCUGACUACGCGUGGAUUUUCCGGUUCUGACUGAGAGUCACAGGCAACGUAAACAAGCGCUAUAUUUCUCUAUAAACGAUGGUGUCUGUACUGCCUUACCACUUCAAGCUCGAUCCAGAGAGUUCAGACGGCCGUUACGAUGUAAACGAUCUCCGUCAAUGAACGCGAUUGGAUUUAACUUUUUUAGGUGUCCUUAGCUCUGCCAGAAUGCUAAACGAAGACGAAAAUGUGUUGCAAAGACAUCCAAAAGGUUUUAAGGAGAAUGCAACAUGUUCCAGGGCCUCUUACCUGCGUGAUUCAUCAUCCAGGUUUUGCACAAAUUGUCUAAAUCCCUACACACAGAACAUUUAUUGUACCGACUAUAAGCCUUUGAGGUGCAGGACUAGAAUACGCUUGGAGCUUCCUGAUCAGAUCGGUCACAAUUUUGGCUUUCGACGACCCCUGCACUGAAGAUGGCAUGCAAUCACGUCCUCCUUUGAACGUCUCUCAAACUGUGAUGCCAGGUCCAUUGGAAUCGGGGAUUCCUUCAGCUUAUCUUCAAAUACCUCAUCAAACACAAGCCUGAUCACAUCCUCC